rnacentral:lncRNA from 1 species
GUUCUAACGGUGAUAGUGGCUAACGGAUUUCAUCGUUGGAGUCGAUCGAAUAUGACACCUAAAGACCCACCAAUCCGCCGGCUCGAGUGCAGACGAAACCAGGUCUUUAGGUCAACUUGUGUGCCACAUUUCCAUUUUGGGAAGGUCUCCCGGAUUCCUUAUGGCUUUCCAUAUAUAGGAGUCCCUAAUUACUAUUUUUCCUUUGCCUUUGCUCACUUACAUCACCUCGUUUAAAACUUAGUUAUGCAAACAAUUUUCGCAUACGCGUUCGGGAGAUCGAGCUUUAUCCAAAAGUAUUAAGUGUGAGCCUGAAAGGUCUACUAAAUUUUAAUAAAUAUUUACAAAAAAUCAAACUUGUGACUAACUAAACCUCUAAAAUUAACUAAAUAAAAAUCAAGUCGCGAAAAUUUGGGAUACAAAAAUUGAAUAGCGAAAUCGAGGAUGGGAUUUCAUAACAACGGUGUUGGUGGGGGUGGAGGAUAUGGUCAUAGUAAGGUGGCAGUGGCGAUAUGGUGUUAGAAGUGGUAAUAAUGAUAGUUAUUGCAUUAUGAUGGGUGGUGGAGUAUAUUAUCAAAGAAUUGAAAAAAUUGAAAUCCAUCAAAAUCAUAGGGGGAGAGGUCGGAUACGCUAUAACAAAAGACUCACUAUAAAAGCAGUCGAAGUCCUUCAAAGUUCUUCAAUGUUCAUGACUUUUGUAAAAAUAUCGAUGUUCUAAAAAAAAGUCCUUCAAAGUUCAUGACUUUUUAAAUUCUUUAAAAUUAAUGAAGUUUUGAAUACAUCUGGACUUUUGUAGACUCACAAAAAGUUAUAAUUCAAUACCAAAAGAUUUUUAUAGAUAUUUUAGAUGUUAUAAAAAUCAAUACAAUGUGACUUUUUAUUAACACUUUGAAAGUCUAUAUUGAAUAGGCUUGGAUUUGAGAGUGAAGCAAAGUCUAUCAGACUCCAUAUACAAUACAUCCCACUAAGAUUCUAUGAAACUCCAUUACACUCUAUACAAUUUUUUAAACCUUUUAAAAUCUCAAUUGAAUACAUCUCUCUAAAUAUUAAAUUCCAAAAACGAAAUAGUUUUUUAGGAAAUACCCAGAAAUAUGACAGUUUCUUAAUCUUGGGACAGAAAUAGGACAUUUUGAAUAUGCACACACCAUGCACACACCAUGCACAACAAUCGGACAUAAAUAGGACAUUUUGAAUAUGCACACACCAUGCACACGCCAUGCACAACAAUUUCCUACACCCUUAAAUGACCAAAUUGUCCUCUCAUAUAAAUAUGUUAUCAAGAAAUUCCAGCUCUCAUUUCUCAUUUUGUUGAGAGAGAAACAAAGAGGAGAGAGAGAGAAAAUCUCUCUCCCCCAAUUCUAGUUCGAAGAACCCUAACCUACCCAUCUUCUUCAUCUAGGAGCUCUCUAUAACCCACGCAUCUUCUUCAUCCAAGCUCUCUCUCUUUCUCUCUAUCUCCUCUCGCUACAUUUCAAUUAUGUACAAGAGCUCUCUCUCUAACCCACUAAUCUUCUUCAAUUUUUACCUUUUCAUUCAUAGGUUUUGUGAACUGGGUUUGCUUGCUUUUUGAUUGAUGAAUUUUUGGAGUUGAAGUGAUUGGUUUGGUGUUUCUUGGAGGAGACCCAAAUCCUUCAUUUUUUAUUUUUUAUUUUAUUUUUUAUCACUUUUUGAUUUAUAUGUGGGUUUUCAUUUUUUCUAUCUUCUCCCUCCCCUUGCUCCCUCUCAAUCCAAAUUUACAAGCACUAAAAUAGGGUUUGGCAUUUGCUACAAUUAAAUGAAAAAACGUAUUAAAGGUCAGUUGCCUUUUGGAGAAUAGAUAAAUUUGAGAGAAAAUAGAGAAAUCAGAGUGGAAAGAAGAAAGAGAGAAGAAUAUGGAUGAAAUUGUUUUGCGUACUCGUUCUCUCUCUUCGUAUUAAGCUCGCUCAUACACGACAUGCACAUGACAUGCACACAUAUCUGAGUUCAACCCAAAAACCCAUAGCUCACAGCUCUCUCUCUUCGAAAUCAGAAAAAUGACGCAAUCUGAUAAAUGAUCCUAAACUUUAUAUGAAGAAUCGAAAAUUCAUUAUUUUGAAUUUGGUAUCAAAUUUGAUUGGGUUCAAAUAUUUCAACGAUUUGAAAAACUUGCAACACGAAGGAACCCAACUGAAUCAAAGGAAAUUGUUUCACAAACUUGUUCCCUUUCCUCGUAUUUGUAGGGCCUGCCUCUGAAUCAAAGGAAAAAGUAGUAAACUACGUUAAUGCGAAGAGUAUCAAAGAUGUAAAUACGCACCAUCUACACAUAACACACUAUAUGCACACCACAUGCACAUAAUAUGUACAGUACAUGCACAUGAUAUGCACAAAAUGAGAGAAACUUUAAUGGCAACAUCUUGGUAUAAUGGGUACAAUUAAAACAUACUUGUUAUGUAUAUAAGUUUAAAAUCACAGUUUGAAAAGUCUUGUUACGUAUAUCAACCACCACUUAACCGUGCACAGAAAACAUGAUUCUCGUUAUCGUUAUUUCAUGAAAACGCAUGACCCUUAACGUCCUCUAAGUUUUUUCUUAAUUUUGUUUUUCAUCGAGGCCAACUAGGUUAUGGUCAUACUUGCUAAAUUCUAGGGCACAACAUAUGUGCAUCAUAACUAGUGAACAUUCCCGCUUCUCAUAUUAAGAUGUAGCCAUGCACACCACAUGCACAUUACGGAAAAAAAAUUCACAAAUUUUUGCAAUUGAACACUUGAACCAAAAAUUGUUCCAUCCCAGUCUUGUAGCAUGUCAACACUUCAAAUUUAUUCC